rnacentral:rRNA from 1 species
GUUGGGAAUCUUGGACAAUGGGGGAAACCCUGAUCCAGCCAUGCCGCGUGAGUGAUGAAGGCCUUCGGGUUGUAAAACUCUUUCGACGGGGACGAUAAUGACGGUACCCGUAGAAGAAGCUCCGGCUAACUUCGUGCCAGCAGCCGCGGUAAUACGAAGGGGGCUAGCGUUGUUUGGAAUUACUGGGCGUAAAGCGCGCGCAGGCGGCUAUCCAAGUCAGUGGUGAAAGCCCGGAGCUCAACUCCGGAACUGCCAUUGAAACUGUUUAGCUUGAGGACGAGAGAGGUGAGUGGAAUUCCCAGUGUAGAGGUGAAAUUCGUAGAUAUUGGGAAGAACACCAGUGGCGAAGGCGGCUCACUGGCUCGUAUCUGACGCUCAGGCGCGAUAGCGUGGGGAUCAAACAGGAUUAGAAACCCUAGUAGUCC